rnacentral:lncRNA from 1 species
AAAAUUCAGCCGAUUCAAGUUUUGUGCAAAGGCUCUGGUGGGUCAGUUUUUGAAGGGCAGACCGUCCGCCGUACAAAAGUACAGAGGGACAUGUUUUUGCAUAGUUUCUGGUGGUUUUAUGGUGGAUGGCAGACCAUUUGCUAGAGUCGAUUGGACCAUCCGUGCCUCCGCCGUGGCACACCGGCGAGCUCGCCGGCGGCGGCUCCGUUCACGGUUUUGGAUGGGGUUUGUUUCUGUGGGUUCC